UACGUAGGGUGCGAGCGUUAAUCGGAAUUACUGGGCGUAAAGCGUGCGCAGGCGGCGCGUUAAGACAGGUGUGAAAGCCCCGAGCUUAACUUGGGAAUGGCAUUGGAAACUGGCGAGCUGGAGUGUGGCAGAGGGGGGUGGAAUUCCACGUGUAGCAGUGAAAUGCGUAGAGAUGUGGAGGAACACCGAUGGCGAAGGCAGCCCCCUGGGCCAACACUGACGCUCAGGCACGAAAGCGUGGGGAGCAAACAGG
rnacentral:rRNA from 1 species